rfam:Lentibacillus amyloliquefaciens strain LAM0015, complete genome.
UGUAGGGGAACAAAGGCUAAGUUCGCCACGUCCUGUGGCAACGCCUUUGUGACCUGCAUCCUGCAGG